CUCGUCCCAUAUUGAAAUCCUUCUCCAAACUCUCCACCGGCCACAAUCUCCCAAAUCCAUCCCCUUAUCCACCCAAAAAUCUUUGAUUUCUACCUCAAAAUCUAGGGUAAACACAUCCUCUCAGCAUAUCUUUGAUCAAAACCCUCUCAUUCUAGCUCUCCAUCAAACCCUUAAGCCCUAAUCUCUAAAAUCCAAAACAAUCACCUCAAAAUCUCUUACUUCUGUUCAUUUCCAUCUAUCUUUCACCCUUCUCUACUCUCUUGGUCGGUUCUCUUGCUCUCAUUGGGACAAUGGCCCCUAAGAGGUGGCUAUCACAAAGAAGGAAGUCUGUGAGGCCUUUGAAAGCUGAAGAA
rnacentral:lncRNA from 1 species